GAUGAACGCUGACAGAAUGCUUAACACAUGCAAGUCGAUGGGGAAGUGGUUCUUGCACCAUGGCAACCAUGGCGGACGGGUGAGUAACGCGUAAGGGACUUACCUGCAGGACUGGGAUAACAGGGGGAAACUCCUGACAAGACCGGAUAAUGUCAUGGAGCUGCAUGGCUUUAUGAUGAAAGGAGACGCCUGCGGAGAGCCUUGCGUCCUAUUAGCUAGUUGGUGAGGUAAUGGCUCACCAAGGCGAAGAUAGGUAGCCGGCCUGAGAGGGUGGACGGCCACAAGGGGACUGAGAUACGGCCCUUACUCCUACGGGAGGAAGCAGUGGGGAAUAUUGGACAAUGGGGGCAACCCUGAUCCAGCAAUUCUGUGUGCAAGAAGAAGGUUUUCGGAGUGUAAAGUGCUUUCAGCAGGGAAGAAGUAAGUGACGGUACCUGCAGAAGAAGCGACGGCUAAAUACGUG
rnacentral:rRNA from 1 species